ACGCACGCUGGCGGCGUGCUUAACACAUGCAGGUCGAACGGAAAGGCCCUGCUUUUGUGGGGUGCUCGAGUGGCGAACGGGUGAGUAACACGUGAGUAACCUGCCCUUGACUUUGGGAUAACUUCGGGAAACUGGGGCUAAUACCGGAUAGGAGCUCCUGCUGCAUGGUGGGGGUUGGAAAGUUUCGGCGGUUGGGGAUGGACUCGCGGCUUAUCAGCUUGUUGGUGGGGUAGUGGCUUACCAAGGCUUUGACGGGUAGCCGGCCUGAGAGGGUGACCGGCCACAUUGGGACUGAGAUACGGCCCAGACUCCUACGGGAGGCAGCAGUGGGGAAUAUUGCACAAUGGGCGGAAGCCUGAUGCAGCAACGCCGCGUGCGGGAUGACGGCCUUCGGGUUGUAAACCGCUUUCGCCUGUGACGAAGCGUGAGUGACGGUAAUGGGUAAAGAAGCACCGGCUAACUACGUG
rnacentral:rRNA from 1 species